rnacentral:rRNA from 1 species
CAAUAGCGUAUAUUUAAGUUGCUGCAGUUAAAAAGCUCGUAGUUGGAUUUCGGGUGGGAAUGGCCGGUCCGCCGUUUCGGUGUGCACUUGCUACGCCCACCUUGCUGCCGGGGACGUGCUCUUGAGUUCACGCUCGGGACACGGAGUCGGCGAGGUUACUUUGAGUAAAUUAGAGUGUUCAAAGCAGGCCUACGCUCUGAAUACAUUAGCAUGGAAUAACACGAUAGGACUCUGGCCUAUCUUAUUGGUCUGUAGGACCGGAGUAAUGAUUAAGAGGGACAGUCGGGGGCACUCGUAUUUCAUUGUCAGAGGUGAAAUUCUUGGAUUUAUGAAAGACGAACUACUGCGAAAGCAUUUGCCAAGGAUGUUUUCAUUAA